AUUGAACGCUGGCGGCGGGCCUAACACAUGCAAGUCGAGCGGGGUUUUCGGACCUAGCGGCGGACGGGUGAGUAAUGCGUAGGAAGCUACCCGAUAGAGGGGGAUACCAGUUGGAAACGACUGUUAAUACCGCAUAAUGUCUACGGACCAAAGUGUGGGACCUUCGGGCCACAUGCUAUCGGAUGCGCCUACGUGGGAUUAGCUAGUUGGUGGGGUAAUGGCUCACCAAGGCGACGAUCCCUAGCUGGUUUGAGAGGAUGAUCAGCCACACUGGAACUGAGACACGGUCCAGACUCCGACGGGAGGCAGCAGUGGGGAAUAUUGGACAAUGGGCGCAAGCCUGAUCCAGCCAUGCCGCGUGUGUGAAGAAGGCCUUCGGGUUGUAAAGCACUUUCAGUAGGGAGGAAGCGUUGUGUGUUAAUAGUACACAGCGUUGACGUUACCUACAGAAGAAGCACCGGCUAACUCUGUGCCAGCCGCCGCUGUAAAAC
rnacentral:rRNA from 1 species